rnacentral:rRNA from 1 species
UACAGAGGUCUCAAGCGUUGUUCGGAUUCAUUGGGCGUAAAGGGUGCGUAGGCGGCGCGGUAAGUCGGGUGUGAAAUCUUGGAGCUUAACCCGGGAACUGCGUCCGAUACUGGAAGGCUUGAAUCCGGGAGAGGGAUGCGGAAUUCCAGGUGUAGCGGUGAAAUGCGUAGAUAUCUGGAGGAACACCGGUGGCGAAGGCGGCAUCCUGGACCGGCAUUGACGCUGAGGCGCGAAAGCCAGGGGAGCAAACGGG